GAUGAACGCUGGCGGUAUGCUUUACACAUGCAAGUCGUACGAGAGUUUUUAACUCAAGUGGCGGACGGGUGAGUAACACGUAAGAAUUUGCCUUUAGGAGGGGGACAACAACUGGAAACGGUUGCUAAUACCCCAUAUGCUUUCGAGUGAAACGGAUUUUUCCGCCUAAAGAGAAGCUUGCGGCUGAUUAGCUUGUUGGUAAGGUAAUGGCUUACCAAGGCGACGAUCAGUAUCUGGUUUGAGAGGACGAUCAGACACACUGGAACUGAGACACGGUCCAGACUCCUACGGGUGGCUG
rnacentral:rRNA from 1 species